rnacentral:lncRNA from 1 species
GUCUAUGUACAUGCGCUUGAGCACUGUCACAAACCACAAAAGACCGGAAACUGCAGUGACACCAAUUUUCUGAUAAUCUCUCCCUCCCUCCUCCCCCUCUCUCUCUCUCUCUCUCUCAAACUCCCUCCCUCUGUCUGUCUGUCUGUCUGUCUCUCUCUCUCUCUUCCUCCCUCCUCCCCCUCUCUCUCUCUCUCAAACUCCCUCCCUCUCUCUGUUUGUCUGUCUCUCUCUCGCUCUCGGCUGUCUCUGUCGAUGGAGGCAACCGGAUAAGGACAGCAUGCAGGCUCAUCCCUGAGAAGAGACACGGAGCUGAGAACGCUGGUCUGGUGGCCGACCUGAGUACUGCUGGACCCCCUGACCCCCACGGCUUGACCCCCUGGACCCCCACCUCUGGACCCCCACCCCUGGACCCCCACCUCUGGACCCCCACCUCUGGACCCCAAGGACAGCCCUCUGGCACCAUGGGGAACUGUCUUUCAGAGAUGAAACUGCCAAAAGGAGGCCUUCUGAAGAACCUCCCGGAAGCUGACGCUGGGAAGGAAGAGGAGCGCGGGCCGCCUGCCGACGGCCUGUACGCCGCCGUGGACUUCAGCAAGAAGAGGUCCUCCCGGGCCCCCGGCCCCCGUGACUCCUCCCCCCGCCCCCCUGACUCCUCCCCCCGCCCCUCAGAGUGUGUCUACUCCGUCAUUAUCCCGCACAGACCUCCAGCCCCGCCCACCUCGGAGGCUGAGGAAGGGGCCGAUGAUUAUGUCCUCAUGCAGUAGGACCACGAGGUCGACCAACGGCAGUACCGAGCUGGAGCGGACCGGAUGCUCACUGCUGCCGUCGCGGUGAGCCCUGACGGAGGCUCGGGACGUCAUUCUGUGGUUCUACGUUCAUCGCUGCGGAGGAA